ACGGUGCGGUUCAAAUAGUAACA
rnacentral:snRNA from 1 species